rnacentral:rRNA from 1 species
AUUGAACGCUGGCGGCAGGCCUAACACAUGCAAGUCGAACGAGUGGCGGACGGGUGAGUAAUGUCUGGGAAACUGCCUGAUGGAGGGGGAUAACUACUGGAAACGGUAGAUAAUACCGCAUACCAUCGCUUGUGCCCAGAUGGGAUUAGCUAGUAGGUGGGGUAAAGGCCCACCGGGGCGACGAUCCCUCGCUGGUCUGAGAGGAUGACCCGCCACACUGGAACUGAGACACGGUCCAGACUCCUACGUGAGGCAGCAGUGGGGAAUAUUGCACAAUGGGCGCAAGCCUGAUGCAGCCAUGCCGCGUGUAUGAAGAAGGCCUUCGGGUUGUAAAGUACUUUCAGCGGGGAGGCGUUACCCGAAGAAGAAGCACCGGCUAACUCCGUGCCAGCCGCCGCGGUAAUUG